AGCCAUAUCACGCUGAAACACCGGUUCUUGUACGAUCACUGAAGUUAAGCAACUUCGAGCCUGAUCAGUACUUAGAGAGAUGACCAUUUGGGAAUAACAGAUACUGUA